CCAGAAAGCACCACUACAGGUACCACAACACCCGAGAAUACAACAGACACUACAACGAUUGAAAGCACCACUACAGGUUCAUCAACAGCCAAAACCACAACAGACACUACGACAACAGAAAGCACCACCAAAGGUACCACAACAACAGAAAGCGCCACAACCGAGACCACAGCAGACACUACAACACCAGAUAGCACCACUACAGGUACUACAACAACAGAAAGCACAACAACAGAGACCAAAACAGACACAACAACACCAGACAGUACCACUACAGGUACCACAACAGCUGAGACCACAACAGACACUACUACAACAGAAAGCACCACCACAGGUGCCACAACAACAGAAAGCACCACUAAAGAUACCACAACACCCGAGACUACAACAGACACUACAACAAUAGAAAUCACCACCACAGCUGCCACAACAACAGAAAGCACCACAACCGAGACAACAAAGACACUACAACACCAGAAAGCACCACUACACGUCUUACAACAUUUGAGACUACAACAGAAACUACAACAACAGAAAGCACACCAACCGAAACCACAACAGACACUACAACAUCAGAAAGCACCACUACAGGUACCACAACUGCUGAGACCACAACAGACACUACUACAACAGAAAGCAUCACCAUAGGUGCCAUAACAACAGAAAGCACCACUACAGGUACUACCACAACAGUCGAGACUACAAUAGACAGUACAACAAUAGAAAUCACCACCACAGGUACCACAACGGUUGAGACCACAACCGAGACCACAACAGACACUAGAACACCAGAAAGUACCACUACAGGUACCACAACACCCGAGACUACAACAGACACUACAACGAUAGAAAGCACCACUACAGGUUCUACAAAAGCCGAAACCACAACAGACACUACGACAACAGAAAGCACAACCACAGGUACCACAACAACAGAAAGCACCACAACCGAGACCACAACAGACACUACAACACCAGAAAGCACCACUACUGGUACUACAACAGAAAGCACAACAACAGAGACCACUACAGACACCACAACAUCAGAAAGCACCACUACAGGUACCACAACUGCUGAGACCACAACAGACACUACAACGAUAGAAAGCACCACUACAGGUUCUACAACAGCCGAAACCACUACAGACACUACGACAACAGAAAGUGCAACCACAGGUACCACAACAACAGAAAGCACCACAACCGAGACCACAACAGACACCACAACACCAGAAAGCACUACUACUGGUAUCACAACAACAGAAAGCACCACAACCGAGACCACAACAGACACUACAACACCAGAAAGCACCACUACAGGUACUACAACAACAGAAAGCACAACAACAGAGACCACAACAGAGACCAUAACAGACACAACAACACCAGAAAGUACCACUACAGGUACCACAAGAACAGAAAGCACCACAACCGAGACCACAACAGACAAUACAACACCAGAAAACACCACUACAGGUACUACGACAACAGAAAGCACAACAACAGAGACCACUACAGACACUACAACACCAGAAAGCACCACUACUGGUGCCACAACUGUAGAGACUACAACAGAAACUACAACAAUAGAAAGCACCACCACAGGUACCACAACAACAGAAAGCAGCACAACCGAGGCCACAACAGACACCACAACACCAGAAAGCACUACUACUGGUAUCACAACAUCAGAAAGCACCACAACUGAGACCACAACAGACACUACAACACCAGAAAGCACCACUACAGGAACUAAAACAACAGAAAGCACAACAACAGAGACUACAACAGACACAACAACACCAGAAAGUACCACUACAGGUACCACAACAACAGAAAGCACCACAACCGAGACCACAACAGACACUACAACACCAGAAAGCACCACUACAGGUACUACAACAACAGAAAGCACCACAACAGAGACCACUAUAGACACUACAACAAUAGAAAGCACCACUACUGGUGUGACAACUGUCGAGACUACAACAGAAACUACAACAAUAGAAAGCACCAGCACAGGUACCACAACAACAGAAAGCACCACAACCGAGGCCACAACAGACACCACAACACCAGAAAGCACUACUACUGGUAUCACAACAACAGAAAGCACCACAACCGAGACCACAACAGACACUACAAAACCAGAAAGCACCACUACAGGUACUACAACAACAGAAAGCACAACAACAGAGACCACAACAGACACAACAACACCAGAAAGUACCACUACAGGUACCACAACAGUCGAGACUACAAUAGACAGUACAACAAUAGAAAUCACCACCACAGGUACCACAACGGCUGAGACCACAACCGAGACCACAACAGACACUACAACACCAGAAAGCACCACUACAGGUACUACAACAAUAGAAAGCACAACAACAGAGACCACAACAGACACUACAACACCAGAAAGCACCACUACUGGUGCCACAACUGUCGAGACUACAACAGAAACUACAACAAUAGAAAUCACUACCACAGGUACCACAACGGCUGAGACCACAACCGAGACCACAACAGACACUACAACACCAGAAAGUACCACUACAGGUACCACAACACCUGAGACUACAACAGACACUACAACGAUAGAAAGCACCACUACAGGUUCUACAACAGCCGAAACCACAACAGACACUACGACAACAGAAAGCACAACCACAGGUACCACAACAACAGAAAGCACCACAACCGAGACCACAACAGACACUACAACACCAGAAAGCACCACUACAGGUACUACAACAACAGAAAGCACAACCACAGGUACCACAACAACAGAAAGCACCACAACCGAGACCACAACAGACACUACAACACCAGAAAGUACCACUACAGGUACCACAACAGCUGAGACCACAAUAGACACUACUACAACAGAAAGCACCACCACAGGUGCCACAACAACAGAAAACACCACUAAAGAUACCACAACAUCCGAGACUACAACAGACACUACAACAAUAGAAAUCACCACCACAGCUACCACAACAACAGACACUACAACAACAGAAAGCACACCAACCGAAAUCACAACAGACACUACAACAUCAGAAAGCACCACUACAGGUACCACAACUGCUGAGACCACAACAGACACUACAACAUCAGAAAGCACCACCACAAGUACCACAACGGCUGAGACAACAACCGAGACCACAACAGACACUACAACACCAGAAAGUACCACUACAGGUACCACAAUACCCGAGACUACAACAGACACUACAACAUCAGAAAGCACCACUACAGGUACCACAACUGCUGAGACCACAACAGACACAACAACACCAGAAAGUACCACUACAGGUACCACAACACCCGAGACUACAAGAGACACUACAACGAUUGAAAGCACCACUACAGGAUCAACAACAGCCGAAACCACAACAGACACUACGACAACAGAAAGCACCACAAACAGGUACUACAACAACAGAAAGCACAACAACAGAGACCACAACAGACACUACAACACCAGAAAGCACCACUACUGGUGUCACAACUGUCGAGACUACAACAGAAACUACAACAAUAGAAAUCACCACCACAGGUACCACAAAGGCUGAGACCACAACCGAGAUCACAACAGACACUACAACACCAGGAAAGUACCACUACAGGUACCACAACACCUGACACUACAACAGACACUACAACGAUAGAAAGCACCACUACAGGUUCUACAACAGCCGAAACCACAACAGACACUACGACAACAGAAAGCACAACCACAGGUCCCACAACAACAGAAAGCACCACAACCGAGAACCACAACAGACACUACAACACCAGAAAGCAACCACUACAGGUACUACAACAACAGAAAGCACAACAACAGAGACCACAACAGACACAACAACACCAGAAAGUACCACUACAGGUACCACAACAGCUGAGACCACAAUAGACACUACUACAACAGAAAGCACCACCACAGGUGCCACAACAACAGAAAGCACCACUAAAGAUACCACAACACCCGAGACUACAACAGACACUACAACAAUAGAAAUCACCACCACAGGUACCACAACUGCUGAGACCACAACAGACACUACAACAAUAGAAAUCACCACCACAAGUACCACAACGUCUGAGACAACAACCGAGACCACAACAGACACUACAACACCAGAAAGUACCACUACAGGUACCACAAAAGUCGACACUACAAUAGACAGUACAACAAUAGAAAUCACCACCACAGGUACCACAACGGCUGAGACCACAACAGACACUACAACACCAGAAAGUACCACUACAGGUACCACAACACCCGAGACUACAAGAGACACUACAACGAUUGAAAGCACCACUACAGGGUCAACAACAGCCGAAACCACAACAGACACUACGACAACAGAAAGCACCACAACAGGUACCACAACAACAGAAAGCACCACAACCGAGACCACAGCAGACACAACAAACACCAGAAAGUACCACUACAGGUACCACAACAGUUGACACAACAAUAGAUACUACAACAACAGAAAGCACCACGACCGAGGCCACUACAGACACUACAACACCAGAAAGCACAACUACUGGUGCCACAACUGUCGAGACUACAACAAUAGAAAGCACCACCACAGGUAAAACAACAACAGAAAGCAGCACAACUGAGACCACAACAGACACCACAACACCAGAAAGCACUAAUACUGGUAUCACAACAACAGAAAGCACCACAACCGAGACCACAACAGACACUACAACACCAGAAAGCACCACUACAGGUACUACAACAACAGAAAGCAGAACAACAGAGACCACAACAGACACAACAACACCAGAAAGUACCACUACAGGUACAACAACACCCGAGACUACAACAGACACUACAACGAUUGAAAGCACCAAUACAGGUUCAUCAACAGCCGAAACCACAACAGACACUACGACAACAGAAAGCACCACCACAGGUACCACAACAACAGAAAGCACCACAACCGAGACCACAGCAGACACUACAACACCAGAUAGCACCACUACAGGUACUACAACAACAGAGACGACAACAGAAACAACAACACCAGAAAGUACCACUACAGGUACCACAACAGUUGAGACAACAAUAGAUACUACAACAACAGAAAGCACCACGACCGAGGCCACUACAGAAACUACAACACCAGAUAGCACCACUACAAGUACUACAACAACAGAAAGCACAACAACAGAGACCACAAAAGACACUACAACACCAGAAAGCACCACUACAGGUACUACAACAACAGAAAGCACCACAACCGAGACCACAACAGACACUACAACACCAGAAAGCACCACUACAGGUACUACAACAACAGAAAGCACAACAACAGAGACCACAACAGACACAACAACACCAGAAAUCACCACCACAGGUACCACAACACCCGAGACUACAACAGACACUACAACGAUUGAAAGCACCACUACAGGUUCAACAACAGCCGAAACCACAACAGACACUACGACAACAGAAAGCACCACAACAGGUACCACAACAACAGAAAGCGCCACAACCGAGACCACAGCAGACACUACAACACCAGAAAGUAUCACUACAGGUACCACAACAGUUGACACAACAAUAGAUACUACAACAACAGAAAGCACCACGACCGAUGCCACUACAGACACUACAACACCAGAAAGCACCACUACUGGGGCCACAACUGUCGAGAGUACAACAGAAACUACAACAAUAGAAAGCACCACCACAGGUAAAACAACAACAGAAAGCAGCACAACUGAGACCACAACAGACACAACAACACCAGAAAGCACUACUACUGUAUCACAACAACAGAAAGCACAACAACCGAGACCACAACAGACACUACAACACCAGAAAGUACCACUACAGGUACCACAACACCCGAGACUACAACAGACAUUACAACGAUUGAAAGCACCACUACAGGUUCAACAACAGCCGAAACACAACAGACACUACGACAACAGAAAGCACCACCACAGGUACCACAACAACAGAAAGCACCACAACCGAGACCACAACAGACACUACAACACCAGAUAGCACCACUACAGGUACUACAACAAACAGAAAGCACAACAUCAGAGACCACAACAGACUCAACAACACCAGAAAGUACCACUACAGGGUACCACAACAGUUGAGACAACAAUAGAUACUACAACAACAGAAAGCACCACGACCGAGGCCACUACAGAAACUACAACACCAGAUAGCACCACUACAGGUACUACAACAACAGAAAGCACAACAACAGAGACCACAACAGACACAACAACACCAGAAAGUACCACUACAGGUACCACAACACCCGAGACUACAACAGACACUACAACGAUUGAAAGCACCACUACAGGUUCAACAACAGCCGAAACCACAACAGACACUACGACAACAGAAAGCACCACUACAGGUAACACAACAACAGAAAGCACCACAACCGAGACCACAACAGACACUACAACAACAGAAAGCACCCACCACAGGUACCACAACAACAGAAAGCACCACAACCGAGACCACAACAAGACACUACACACCAGAUAGCACCACUACAGUACUACAACAACAGAAAGCACACAACAGAGACCACAACAGACUCAACAACACCAGAAAGUACCACUACAGGUACCACAACAGUUGAGACAACAAUAGAUACUACAACAACAGAAAG
ensembl:lncRNA